CUCAGUCAAAUUUGUACGGAGUUGGAACAGCUUCCCUUCGUUUGCCGCUAGGGGCGCUGUUCCAACUCCAUACAAAUUUGAGUUA
rfam:Bombyx mori DNA, contig: Bm_scaf16_contig12316, strain: p50T/Dazao, build 2, whole genome shotgun sequence.